rnacentral:lncRNA from 1 species
UUGAGAGAGGACUAUUGAACUUGUUAUUUUAUUAGUUGGUGCAUUCUAUAAAAAUUGUGACUUCGCUCUAAGUCAUUUAUAGGGCUUUAGUAGUACAAUUACCUUUACAAUCUCCUUUCCACAUUUUGAGAUAAUUUUUUUCUAAAAUCAAAUAGAAUCAAGUGAGAAGUGUUUUUUUCCCUUAAAGAAAGAUAGUUGUAUUUUU